rnacentral:rRNA from 1 species
GAUGAACGCUGGCGGCGUGCCUAAUACAUGCAAGUCGAGCGAACAGACGAGGAGCUUGCUCCUCUGACGUUAGCGGCGGACGGGUGAGUAACACGUGGAUAACCUACCUAUAAGACUGGGAUAACUUCGGGAAACCGGAGCUAAUACCGGAUAAUAUAUUGAACCGCAUGGUUCAAUAGUGAAAGACGGUUUUGCUGUCACUUAUAGAUGGAUCCGCGCCGCAUUAGCUAGUUGGUAAGGUAACGGCUUACCAAGGCAACGAUGCGUAGCCGACCUGAGAGGGUGACCGGCCAAACUGGCACUGAGACACGGUCCAGACUCCUAAGGGAGGCAGCAGUAGGAAAUCUUACGCAAUGGGCGGAAGCCUGACGGAGCAACGCAGCGUGAGAGAUGACGGUAUUCGGAUCGUAAAACUCUGUUAUUAGGGAAGAACAAAUGUGUAAGUAACUAUGAACGUCUUGACGGUACCUAAUCAGAAAGCAACGGCUAACUACGUG